UCUUGUGUGCCAAUUGUCAUUGAGGCCAUAGAAAUAGCAGGAGAGAUUUCAGGUAGUGACCAUGAUGAGAUACAGAAGAAGAGGUACAUUUACGCGAUGAAGUAUCAGAAAGAGUNNNNNNNNNNNNNAAAGAGUGUAAAGACCCAAAAAUCUUCCAAUGGAAAUUCGGAGACCAGUACUUGGUUUCCGAGAAGUUCUGCGAUAGGGUAUGCUUAGUUUGGAAUGAAGACAAGUGGACUUUGCAGAAUAAAAUUCGAGAGAAGAAGAAUUCAG
rnacentral:lncRNA from 1 species